UUGAAGUAGGGAGGGGAAGAUGGCGGAGUGAGGGGAAGAAGUGGAGCGAGAGCCGCUGCGGGCUGCGGCCCAGGGGCCCCAGCUGUGUGUUGCCCCUCCAGGUCCAUGCAUAUACGAUAGUGAUUGGCAGUCAAAACAAGAAACUUCUAUUAACUGAAAGCUACAGGCAAAAGUUCUUGGUGAUAAAUGAUCAGUGCAGCCUGAAAUGAAAGAGGAAUUGUAAUGGGACUAGAAGCAAGCAAAUGUCCCUAUCUUCCAACAGGGAGAAAAAUGCAGGAAUUAUCCAUCACUAAAGGUCUUUUCCUUUUGAUCCAGGAGAGGCUGUUUCUAAAGAAUUGCUAUUCAUGAAUAUCCAUCUUGUGAAGAAAACUUUUCCCUUAUUUCUCUAAAAGAAAAUGAAGAAAUGCUGCUCUGAUUCUUUUCCAGCUCCUUAUCAUAAAAAAUUGUCACACGGAAGCCUGUAUUAUAGAGGUGGAAAGCACAGCCCUUGCAAAAGAACUAAAAUGGAUAUGUAGAAUUUCAUACAAUUAUGUAAACCAGGCCUUUGCUUAGGGUUUUUGCCCUCUAGAAAUGAUUGUGCAUACAAAUAUAGGCAGUUGCCAAUUCUUGUUGACACUUUGUUCCCUUCAAUAUAUUUUAGUAAGGUAAUUCAUCACAAAAUAUUUGGAGAACCUAACAAAUUGAUAUGUUCUUGAAAUACUGUCUCAUAAACCUUGAUGAAAAAUUGUGGCAGAAGAACCAGGAUGUACAUGUGUUGUAAAAGAAAAAAGAGAAAUAGUUUGAAAGAUUUCCCACUGAGAAUUUUCCUUCUUAAAAGAGUCAGUUUAAGUAGAUAACAAUCUUGAUGCAACUAUGUAAAGCUGCUGUUGCAUAGCAGCUAAUAAUCAUUUUAUCUGUUGCAUUUAAGUGUAGCCUCACUUUUUAAAGCAAACAGAUAAAAGAAAUCUUUAUGUACAUUUGCAUCUACAUAAAAGCUGGAAAGUGGGGAUAUUAGUAGCAUGUCCCAAGUUGGAAGACUUAAAAGUAUAGAAAGUAAGCCUUGGGGCAGUGGAAUUUACUUGGUAUCCCUAUUCUUCCCUAAGGAAUUCAACAACAAAAGGAACAAUGACUUUUAUCUAUCCAGGCUUUUACCUGAAAGGAACAACAAUGCUGGUAUAACCUUGUAUGUAAAACUUUCCACUGCUUAGAUGAACAAAAGGUAGACAUGCUCAGGAAGGGCUGCUUCAUCAUUUCUCACUAUGUCACCUACAGUUAAGGUGGGAAUUAUGUUCUAAACAUGUUUACAGAAAAUUCUUUGCAUUGUGUUUAUUAAUACUGGACAGUUCCUUUCAAGCUGGGAUAAAAGCUGCUCUUCAACCAGUUUGCCAGAAUGGAUGCAAAGGCCUAUGUCUUCUUUUCUUGCUGAGCCAUGGAGCCCUUAGUAGUGCACCUUAUUUCAGUUUUAUUAAAAUUUUAAUUUAGAUUUGCUAGUAGUUUAACAAUAUCCUCAAUCUGAGUUAAAGGGAGUACAAUUAAUAAUGGUUAGUCAUAGCUAAGAAUGUUGAAUGCUUUUGGCUGAUUGAUGGCAAAUGUUAUUUUCUGAGGAAAAGUAGUGGCUGACAGAAGAACAUUUGGGAUAUGCGUAUGUUUUAAAUAGUUUUAAUAAGGGGAAUUAUACCUAGCAAAGCAUUUGUAUUUGGUUGUCAUAAUGUCGUAUUUAGCUUAUCCAUGAUAAAAGAGCAAACAUUUAUUCCGUCGCUUUCUUUGAAUAAAAAUGAAGUAUGGGUAGUCCUCGUUUAGCAGCCACAAUUGGAAGCGGCAACUGAGUUGUUAAGCAAAGCAGUCGCUAAGUGAAACCGUGACUGGGCUUAUGAUCUUACUUGAGCUUUCCUUUGCUUUAUAGACCUGUGAAGAUCUUAAAUGCGAGGGUUGGUCAUAAAGUUACUUUUUCAUUACCAUUUUAACUGUGAAUGGUCUCUAAACAAGGCAGUCACUAAAUGAGGACUGCUUGUACAAUUGUUUUUAAAAAGUGUUUCAAUAGAACAUUUUCAGAGGACUUAAAAUCUAUAGCUACAGGACAAAAAUGAAAUAUUUAAUAUUCAAAUUGGUCUGAAGCCCUGAAAUCUUGUUUGAAUACUAAAUUUUAAAAUAAGUUGGAUAUCCUUUGGGAUUAUCAGGGCUUCAGAAGUAAAGUCUAACCUAAUGGUGUAUAAGCUGUCCUCUGCAACUCUGUUACUGAAAAUCAGAAAAAAAGCAUGAUAAUUGUUCAAUCAGUUUUUAGAUGUUGCUUUAGCUAUUUAUACCUCAGAGGUAUUUUGUGGGGAAGAAAAUACAUUGGGACAGAGUGGGAAUAUAAUUUAGUUUCCCCAAAUCAUCAGAAAAUGACCAUAUCAUUUAAGAAGAAAAUCAGUCUUUAUCCCCUUUCCCACUGAACCCAUUGUCUAUUUUUAUUGAAUACAUCUGCAUUAAGAGUAUACUUAGUAUUGGAGAAACAACAAAACUGAUAACUAUGCCCAGGAAAUCAUUUUGCAGCGUACUUAUCCUGUUGCAUCUCCUUAACAGUACUAUCCAGAGGCAAUAUUGCCUUAAUUUUUUGGUUUUACAUACUCAUCUGUUGUCCACCUUGGCAGGAAAUCUUUCACAUCUGACAGAUGAAGCAAAUAUGGGGCAUGUGCAAUAGUAUAAUAUAUACAUAUAAAUAUAUUUUAAUACUUGUGGACAAAACGUUACAAGUUGUUUGAGAACAACAAAAUCACCAAUGUCUUCCAUUUUAAAAUGUGUAUAGUUCCAUAAGCAUUAGUGCUUUGUAGCAAAACUGUAGUGCCAUGUUAGGAUCAGUGCAUGAGCCUAGUAGUACUUUUUUUUACAAUUUCAGAGUGACAAAUUAAUGAAGCUGAUGAUGUAACUUCUAGGAAACUGACAUGGUUAUGGUCAUGGUCUAAAGAUGCAGUGUCCUUUCUAGGCAAUGGUAGAAGAAACUGCUGCAUAGAAUCAGUGAGAUGUGGAUUUUGUAGUGAUUGCAUGAAAAUAAUCUUUAAACAGCCAGGUACAUUUUGAGUGCACUUAAAGAAACUGCAUGUGAAACCUUAAUAGAAGUAACAGUCUUUAACAAAACCCUUUGUGAAUCAUGAAAUAUUUUGCUAUAUUGAGAAAAAUAACUGAUAAUGUAAAUUCUUAAAUUUUAGGGACUAGAAUAAGCAUAUGACUAGUCUUUCCCACUCAUGCUUUUUUCCGUAUAUUGCAUUUCCCACAAAAAAGGUUUGGUAUGUUUUGAAUCAGAUUUAUUGGUUGUUUCUGUGCUCGCAUUAAGACAGGAAUGGAUACCGUUUUGCAGUAUAACUGUUGAUUGCAGAAACUGAAUGAUAGAUUGGGGCUUGCACAUAUCUGCCAAUAUAUCAUGGCAUCUCUUAAUCAAGAGUAGCAUCUUGCAAAAUUGACUGAACUAGAAAUGGUAUCACUGUACAGCUAUUUAUGAAUGCACCUAAAUUAUUAGCACUGUUAUUAAAAUCUCAAAAUUUUACCUUUACCAUUUUGGUAAAGCAUUUGUUGGAGUUUUCUGCUAAUUCAUCUAUUUGAUCCCAUUUAAUUAUUGCAUCCAAAUAUCUAUACUUACAUUACAGUAAUCUGAAUAGGUUUUCCCCCCUUCCUUUUCUGAAAAUACUGCUUCAGUUAGGUAAUUCAUCUACUUAACUUUUUAUUUUUGGUUCAAGCAAGUCAAGUUUUAAGUUAUGAAUCUGGUUCUUUGUAGAUCUUUAUGUUUAUGGUUUAAAUGCUACUUUUUGCUUAAAGGGGAUACUGCAUCUUUUUUUUAAAAAAACCCUUAUCUAUAAAUGGCCACCUUGAUGAGGGAAGAGAUGUCUCUGACUUUGCACAGUAUUUCUUUAUUGGUAAAACAUAAUACAAAACAUGUAAUUUAACUGUUAAGCCAGAGAACUGCAGAAUUACUUUUUAAAGAUCUCUCUUGGUUUUCUCAUGAAAGUGGCAAGGUGUGUCAUUUAGAGUUGAGUUGUGAGGGCCUGAGCUCUGUCAUGGUUCUCUUGUGAACAACAGUAUAAUUGAACAAAAUGGUGAUGAUUGGGAGAAUUGAUGGAAAAAUACCUCUGAAACUGGAAUGCAAAAUAGCACAGUAUGUAGGGGGAAGAAUCCCUGAUGCAAAUAAAGCCAUAAGAUGACAAUAAAUAGAACUUUAGUAGCAAUAACUGUUUGCAUGUAAUAGGACCUAACUUGCACUGGCAAGAAUUGUAUAGUAGAAUAAAUGGUAUUAACCAAAUAGGUUUGCGGUGCUCUGUGUUGCAGGAAGUUGAAUUUCUCAUUAAAAGGUUAGAAAGUUCCUCUCUACCACAGAACUAUGUGCUUGAAUGCUACAGGGCAAGGCUUGACAAAAAUUCCAGAAUUUUAUUUUUCAAAAUUGAUAUAAUUAGGAACAAUGUUUAUGAAAUUGAUGAAAACUUACAUAGAAUGUAGAUAAUUCAUCAUUUCUGAAGAGACAAAGAAUCCUUGAGGCUGGGUUCUAUCUAGACAUAUAAUUUAGGAGAUUUGGGGAUCCGGAUUUCUGAACCAAGUUGUGGAUUUCUCUGAAAGUAGUGUAUGCAUAUAUAAUUGUUUUGGUCAUUUUGUUUUACAAGCAAAUCUGGUUUCACUUCUUUUUUAAUUAUAUAAAGCUACUUGGAGACUUGGAAGGUAGAGAGCAAGCUUCAGUUCACUCUGCCUGGCAAACUCUUACCCUCAUCACUCUAGAGAGUAGAGUUUAUACCUCUUUAAAAUGCGGUUGCACUAACCUUGUAUGCAUGUGCAUACUGAAGACCAAGGAGACUGUAAAUUUAAUGAAGAACUCUGCCUUAAGCAGGAUUCAGUUGACCAGAUUCAUCUGCAAGGCUGGGACAUAUACUUAAAGGAAGUAGCUUUACUUUUAUUUUUGUUCUUCAUUGUAUGGUAUUCAUUAUUUAUCCACAUGGAUGAGGCAGAAGUUUUAAAAUAAAAUGCAUAUACACAUAUGCAUGCAUGUUUAUACACAUUCUAUAGAAAUUUCUGCUCUGUAUAUAUUUAUACUGAUCAGUGAAAAUUAGCACAAGUUUCUAAAAUGUUCAGGAGUUGAAUCAAGCAUUUGGUUGUUCUAUAUAUGUAGAAAAAUAGUUGAUAUACUUAGGUAACUUUUGCUCACAAAAUAUAUAGGAAGUAUUCAUUAAUCUUGCAAACAAUUUCUCUAACCCUGGAAAAUUAUUUGCACUUACUGUAGUUGCCUACAUGAUUGUUUAAAUACUUGUUGGCAGAAUUCUAAAGGUAUCUUAUAUCUAUAUCAGUACAAUUUUCACUGCUCACAUGUUUGAGCAGCUAAUUUGCACCUUUUUCACUGUUGGUUAAACUGGUGCUAGGCUGACAUUAUAACACUGCUCCUAUAAAAUAAGGUAGAAAAUUUUAGUCUCAUAAUCUGGGUCACAAAUGGGGAGGGGCUCAGAACUGCAUGCAAGAAUUGAAUGAGGUGCUACUCUGGAAGAACUAGAUUGUUGUUCAUUGCUUGCUUAAACAUGUGACUUGCAGCCUCAUCCUAGAGUGUAUGCUGCCUUGAUCUGAAUGGUAAGAGACUAUAAUAUUUAAACUACUGGAGAUUUAACAUUGAAAUAUAGUUCUAAAUGCAGAUGAGAGAAAACUCUUAAGUGGCUCUUCAUGGUACUUAACCUGCCUAUUCUGUGUGUGGUUUUCCCCUUCCUUUGAUUGUAAUAAUUCUCUUGAUAGCUCUUAAUUUUUGAUUGCAGAUCAGUUUCAUUGAAACAUUAAUACUAUUCUUGAUGAAAGGUUCCAUAGAGCUUGCAUUUCAUCUGUCAAUAUUUUUAGUGGUUUGAUUUUUUUAUUAUUUUAAUCAGCACCUACUUUCUAAAUUUUAUGGUGAAAUUCCUCUUAAUAUAGACCUCCCUUUUAGAUUUUUUAAUUUUUAUUUAUUUUGCACUUUGAAAAACAGUAAAUCAAGAAUUCAAGCACAAUAUUGACACAUAGAUGCCAGAAAAUAGCUCUCACAAGCAGGUUUCUGGAAUGUAGAUUGCAAGUAAUAGUUCUUUGAUGUUUCAAUCAGGAUUUAGAGAACCUAAGCUGAACUGAGUUUUUGCAUUCAGUUUGUAUGCUUGGGGAUGGGUUAUAAGAGGAGCCUAUAGAGAGAGAGGCAAUGACUUUAACUUUCCCAGGAAUGUAGAGAAAUGGUAGCUGUGCAGAGUGCAUAGAUUUAUACAAAGAAGAUUGCCGGAAUAAAUACUUUAGCAUAUCUCUUAACAGAGUGGGAGAAGGAACACCUAUGCAUGCACUUAAACUUGUUACUGGAAUCAAAUUGAUUAAAGAAUAAAUGUAUAUUGGCUAUGGGAGGGUUAGGGUGCCUAUUUCUUGCUUUCUAGAGAAGAAAGGUGUUGUGUAGAGAGGAACUGACUUCAUUUUAGGAACAUGGGAAAUGAAUGACAGAGGCUUUGAAUCUGAGCACUUCCUAGCUGGUUUUAGAUGGAAUUUCCAAGUUUUCUAAGUCACAGCACAACGAACAUUCCAUAAAGUAUAUUUCAUAAGGACUGCAUGUUGCAAUUCUUUUCUGUUCCAUGCAGGUGAAGGCAGGUGGGGUUACAAAGCCCUCAGAAUGGAAAACUUGUGUGGGAAAAAUACCACUGGCACAAGCACAUAGACUCACAAACCGUCUUUUAUAGAGAUAGUAUUCUAAUUAUGCAUGAUUAAAAUGUUUAGUGUUAUAGCUAUUAUCAGUAAAUUGAUAUAUGCAUUUAUACAUUAUGAAGCAAUAGGAACCAAUAUACCAAUAGCUUGAAUUUACUGCUUUGAUUCUCAGUUUUUUAGACAACAUGCUGCCUCUUUAGUAAAGGGGCAGAAUGUACAAAGAAGGGACGAAGCAUGACGCCAAAACUGUGUAUUAGAAAAAGGAAUCAGUAGAAUGAGCCCUUUUGGCCUCUUACCAAGUUCAUAGCAGCUCAUGAGCCUAUAUAAUAUGAACAUGGUUGAUGGCAAGUUGGGUUUCUUGGGUUGCUGCAGUUGUACAAACAAAAAAGGUGCAGAGUUUCAGAGUACCAAGAAGGCAAUAGGUAAAUCCCAAAUGGGGCAAUAAAAAUGAUCUAAGCUGUGUAGGGUUUGUUGUUAUUUUUAAGUUGAGAUUGUGAACUUUAGCCAGAGCCUGUUGCAGUUAAAAAACAAUGAGUAAAUAAAAUGAGUAAGCUGUCCAUACUUUUCAGGUAUUAAUUCUUUCUAGGACAGGUGUGGCUUUUCAGGUUUUUUUCCACCACCUUGGCAGCUAGGUUAAAAUGAACUGGUUUCAGACCAGCAAUAAUUAUACCUUACAAUAUGAAAAUUGGAGCUAUUUAUUAUAUAUUCAAGCUUUAUUUAAGUAGGGGGUGGCUCUUUUGAUCUAUUAGAGGAUUGUUGGUGUGAAUACUCAAUUUUGAAAAACUGGUGCAGCAAAACAUGUUAACGUAGGGAUACUAGAAACAACAGGCUAGCUGUUGUAGCAAAGUCUGCAUUGGCACAUUCUUUUCCUAUUAAGAUGUGCUAAAAAGAAAUCCCGAGUUAAAAUCCUUAGAUUAUGGCUAUACUAGUUUGCAAAAAGGCAGUCUUAGCUUACCUGAAUACUAGUGUAUCUCAAAGAUAGACCCUUUUUCUAGGUUAUGAACAUUCAUUAAGGCAUGUUUAUACAUUUUUGUGUUUUGUAACUUUCCUAGGCAUACACAUUUCCAACUGUAUUUUUGCACUACCAUUGCCAGUAAUCAGUAACUUCCAGAUAGCUAGACUAUUGGAGUUGUGAUUGAAGUCUUGCAAACCAUUUUUAACAAGUGAAAUAGGCAACAGUAUCUCAUUUCUAAAUUUUCCCUUCCAAAGUUUACUUCUCUUGUAGAUUACGUUUGCAGGUGUUUCAACUAAACCGUAGGAUUUAAGACUGCUACUAAAUGGAUUUUCUUUUUUCAAAACAAUGUUGUUCUAAAGUGUUUGAAAAUUGGGAAGAAUGGGUAGCAAGUUAAGUCUUGAAGAUAACCUACAAAAAAUUGGCAGACUGGUAUGCCUGUUACUGACAAAAACUCAUCUGGAUUAGUAGAGACAAGGAAUAGGCUACAUCUACAUCUACUCCACUAUACACUUUGUAUCAAUACGAACAAUUUGCCCAUGUAUAUACCUGAUAUUUUCCAGAUGGCAGCUUGCUUUUAUAUCUAUGCAUAUUUGGGGAAGGGGAGGAAUGUGUUAAAUGUAUUCUUUUGACACUGUAAACAAUAAUUGCUCAAAAAUGAACUUUGAAACUCUGCACCUGUAUAUAAUUUUUUAGCAAUAAAGCAGCAUGAGCUGAGAAUGCACUAAAA